rnacentral:rRNA from 1 species
UGCAUGUCUAAGUAUACGCAAUCUAUACCGUGAAACUGCGAAUGGCUCAUUAAAUCAGUUAUCGUUUAUUUGAUAGUACCUUGCUACUUGGAUAACCGUGGUAAUUCUAGAGCUAAUACAUGCUAAAAACCCCGACUUCGGAAGGGGUGUAUUUAUUAGAUAAAAAACCAAUGCCCUUCGGGGCUCCUUGGUGAUUCAUAAUAACUUAACGAAUCGCAUGGCCUUGUGCCGGCGAUGGUUCAUUCAAAUUUCUGCCCUAUCAACUUUCGAUGGUAUGGUCUUGGCUUACCAUGGUUUCAACGGGUAACGGGGAAUUAGGGUUCUAUUCCGGAGAGGGAGCCUGAGAAACGGCUACCACAUCCAAGGAAGGCAGCAGGCGCGCAAAUUACCCAAUCCCGACACGGGGAGGUAGUGACAAUAAAUACUGAUACAGGGCUCUUUUGGGUCUUGUAAUUGGAAUGAGUACAAUUUAAAUCCCUUAACGAGGAACAAUUGGAGGGCAAGUCUGGUGCCAGCGAGCCGCGGUGAUUUCCAGCUCCAAUAGCGUAUAUUAAAGUUGUUGCAGUUAAAAAGCUCGUAGUUGAACCUUGGGCCUGGUUGGCCGGUCCGCCUCACCGCGUGCACUGGUCCGACCGGGUCUUUCCUUCUGAGGAGCCGCAUGCCCUUCACUGGGUGUGUCGGGGAAUCAGGACUUUUACUUUGAAAAAAUUAGAGUGUUCAAAGCAGGCCUAUGCUCGAAUACAUUAGCAUGGAAUAAUAGAAUAGGACGUGUGGUUCUAUUUUGUUGGUUUCUAGGACCGCCGUAAUGAUUAAUAGGGAUAGUCGGGGGCAUCAGUAUUCAAUGUCAGAGGUGAAAUUCUUGGAUUUAUUGAAGACUAACUACUGCGAAAGCAUUUGCCAAGGAUGUUUUCAUUAAUCAGUGAACGAAAGUUAGGGGAUCGAAGACGAUCAGAUACCGUCGUAGUCUUAACCA